GCACUGCUGAGGAGUCCCACAACAGGACGAAACGGGCUGUCUUGUGC
rnacentral:hammerhead_ribozyme from 1 species